CUCAUACUCUCUCCGUUCCGAAUUACUUGUCGCAGAUAUGGAUGUAUCUAGAUGUAUUUUAGUUCUAGAUACAUCCAUUUCUGCGACGAGUAAUUUGGAACGGAGGGAGUACAUU
rnacentral:pre_miRNA from 1 species